UUGAACGCUGGCGGCAGGCCUCACACAUGCAAGUCGAACGGUAACAGGAAGAAGCUUGCUUCUUUGCUGACGAGUGGCGGACGGGUGAGUAAUGUCUGGGAAACUGCCUGAUGGAGGGGGAUAACUACUGGAAACGGUAGCUAAUACCGCAUAACGUCGCAAGACCAAAGAGGGGGACCUUCGGGCCUCUUGCCAUCGGAUGUGCCCAGAUGGGAUUAGCUAGUAGGUGGGGUAACGGCUCACCUAGGCGACGAUCCCUAGCUGGUCUGAGAGGAUGACCAGCCACACUGGAACUGAGACACGGUCCAGACUCCUACGGGAGGCAGCAGUGGGGAAUAUUGCACAAUGGGCGCAAGCCUGAUGCAGCCAUGCCGCGUGUAUGAAGAAGGCCUUCGGGUUGUAAAGUACUUUCAGCGGGGAGGAAGGGAGUAAAGUUAAUACCUUUACUCAUUGACGUUACCCGCAGAAGAAGCACCGGCUAACUCCGUG
rnacentral:rRNA from 1 species